AUUGAACGCUGGCGGCAUGCCUUACACAUGCAAGUCGAACGGCAGCACGGGAGUAAUCCUGGUGGCGAGUGGCGAACGGGUGAGUAAUAUAUCGGAACGUGCCCAGUCGUGGGGGAUAACGCAGCGAAAGCUGUGCUAAUACCGCAUACGAUCUCUGGAUGAAAGCGGGGGACCGUAAGGCCUCGCGCGAUUGGAGCGGCCGAUAUCAGAUUAGCUAGUUGGUGGGGUAAAGGCCCACCAAGGAGACGAUCUGUAGCUGGUCUGAGAGGACGACCAGCCAAACUGGAACUGAGACACGGUGCAGACUCCUACGGGAGGCAGCAGUGGGGAAUUUUGGACAAUGGGCGCAAGCCUGAUCCAGCAAUGCCGCGUGCAGGAUGAAGGCCUUCGGGUUGUAAACUGCUUUUGUACGGAACGAAACGGCGAGCUCUAAUAAAGUUUGCUAAUGACGGUACCGUAAGAAUAAGCACCGGCUAACUACGUGCCAGCCGCCGCGGUAA
rnacentral:rRNA from 1 species